GCAGUAGCCGCGGUAAAACGAAGGGUGCAAGCGUUACCCGGAAUUACUGGGCGUAAAGCGUGCGUAGGUGGUGGUUUAAGUCCGUUGUGAAAGCCCUGGGCUCAACCUGGGAAUUGCAGUGGAUACUGGAUCACUAGAGUGUGGUAGAGGAUAGUGGAAUUUCCGGUGUAGCAGUGAGAUGCGUAGAGAUCGGAAGGAACAUCUGUGGCGAAGGCGACUAUCUGGGCCAACACUGACGCUGAGGUGCGAAAGCGUGGGGAGCAAACAGGAUUAGAUACCCCCGUAGUCCCUGUCUCUUAUAC
rnacentral:rRNA from 1 species